rnacentral:pre_miRNA from 1 species
UGGAAGACUUGUGAUUAGGUUGUUACGCAAAAUACGUUUUGUCAUCAUCAAAAUGCGAAACAUGCACCUAUUAACAACUGUCACGGUCUUCCAAGG